rnacentral:rRNA from 1 species
AGGGUGACCGGCCACAUUGGGACUGAGACACGGUCCAAACUCCUACGGGAGGCAGCAGUGGGGAAUAUUGCACAAUGGGGGAAACCCUGAUGCAGCGACGCCGCGUGGAGGAAGAAGGUCUUCGGAUUGUAAACUCCUGUUGUUGAGGAAGAUAAUGACGGUACUCAACAAGGAAGUGACGGCUAACUACGUGCCAGCAGCCGCGGUAAAACGUAGGUCACAAGCGUUGUCCGGAAUUACUGGGUGUAAAGGGAGCGCAGGCGGGAAGACAAGUUGGAAGUGAAAUCCAUGGGCUCAACCCAUGAACUGCUUUCAAAACUGUUUUUCUUGAGUAGUGCAGAGGUAGGCGGAAUUCCCGGUGUAGCGGUGGAAUGCGUAGAUAUCGGGAGGAACACCAGUGGCGAAGGCGGCCUACUGGGCACCAACUGACGCUGAGGCUCGAAAGUGUGGGUAGCAAACAGGAUUAGAUACCCUGGUAGUCCACACUGUAAACGAUGAUUACUAGGUGUUGGAGGAUUGACCCCUUCAGUGCCGCAGUUAACACAAUAAGUAAUCCACCUGGGGAGUACGACCGCAAGGUUGAAACUCAAAGGAAUUGACGGGGGCCCGCACAAGCAGUGGAGUAUGUGGUUUAAUUCGACGCAACGCGAAGAACCUUACCAAGUCUUGACAUCCCUUGACGAUGCUGGAAACAGUAUUUCUCUUCGGAGCAAGGAGACAGGUGGUGCAUGGUUGUCGUCAGCUCGUGUCGUGAGAUGUUGGGUUAAGUCCCGCAACGAGCGCAACCCUUAUGGUCAGUUACUACGCAAGAGGACUCUGGCCAGACUGCCGUUGACAAAACGGAGGAAGGUGGGGAUGACGUCAAAUCAUCAUGCCCUUUAUGACUUGGGCUACACACGUACUACAAUGGCGUUAAACAAAGAGAAGCAAGACCGCGAGGUGGAGCAAAACUCAGAAACAACGUCCCAGUUCGGACUGCAGGCUGCAACUCGCCUGCACGAAGUCGGAAUUGCUAGUAAUCGCGGAUCAGCAUGCCGCGGUGAAUACGUUCCCGGGCCUUGUACACACCGCCCGUCACACCACCCGAGUCGUUUGCACCCGAAGCCGCCGGCCCAACCCCUCGC